ensembl:snRNA U6 U6 spliceosomal RNA
GUGCUCACUUCGGCAGCACACAUACUAAAAUUGGAGCGGUACAGAGAUUAGUAUGGCCCCUGCAUAAGAUGACACGCAAAAUUCAUGAAGCAUUCCAUAUAAUC